GGAAACUAGAGUUAGUAUUAUUACAUGGGGAGGGCAAAGGGCAAAGGCCAUGAUUGAGAUAAUUGGCCUCCUGACACAAUGUCAUGAUUGAAACUUACACACACGCCACUCCCCUUUUCUCUCUUCUUUCUAUAUAAUCUCCCGCUCCCACUCCUCCAAGCCCACCAUCCUCAUAACUCCUUCUCUCUCUCUCUCUCUCUCUCCGUCGUUUCAAACCAAA
rnacentral:misc_RNA from 1 species